GGGGGACAGAGGGAGGAGGUGGCUCUGCUGGAAUUCCAGCACCAUGGAACCAGGAGGAGCAAUUCUGGCAGCAGCUGGAGCCCUCAGGGUGUAGACUUGGCCAGAGCCGUGCCCAAGGCGGACAGAGAGGGGGGCAGAAUCCCCUGGCAUUGGCUUUCCUCCUGCCCUCCAGGCUCUUCCCAGCUGGGAGCCAACUGAUGCAGGAACCAAAACAAGGCCUGUGUGGCCUUGGAGAAGACACUUGCUUUGAGCCUCAGUUUCCUUUCCUGUUAAAGGGACCCAUCAGUCCGGCCUUGCAGGUCUGUGGUUAAGGCAGGGCUGUUUCUCUGCCUGGCACUGGGCCCCAGCUCAGCCCUCUUAAUCUGCAGAACUUGCCAUUACUCCCCUGCCCUUCUGGGCUCCCUGUGUCCAAGGGGCCCUGAGGACUCAGAAAUGAGUCAGACCCUGGCCUCUAGGUUCUCCACUCACUUGGGCCAGGCUGUGGUUGCAGACUGUGCGGUGCUCUCACAGAAAGCAGGCGGGUGGGUACCUUUCACUCCAAAAGGAGCGGAGAGCACAGGGUGAGGUGGGGGCUGGAGCUUCAGAAAGGAGGCUGCAUCUGGAAGGCCAGGGAGGACCUCUUGAGGGCUCUGAAUGUCAACCUGCAUUGCAUGAACUUGAUCCUCAAGGGGAGGUGGGGGACAGGCCUGGCAGGUGUGCAUUGGGAAAGCCCUGUUAAGAGCCAGUGCAUGUCAAGCGCCUUGGAACUGUGCAUCGGGGAUGGUGGCCUGGAGGGGACGAGCUGGAGGCAGGAAGACUAGGGAGGAGGGUCUUUCUAGAGGAGCUCCAAGACUCCCCUUGGACAUGCUUUCUGGGACUGCUAGAGUGAUUCCUUCUUUCCUGUCACGAAACACCUCUCCCUGUCCUUGAGCCGGGAUUCUGAAAAGGUCUCUGGUUCCUGGGCCAGCCCCACCCUGCCCUGCCUUGAGGCCACAUCUGCCACACCCUCAGCCUGGCCUAAGGUGCUAGUUACUUGUUGCUAUCUCUGGGGACCUUCUUGCCAAGACUGUGCCGUGGAGGGGGUGGGGAGGGGAGGAGCUGAGAAGAGGGGGAUGGGCAGGCCAGAGGUUGUGCCCGGUGCACGUGGGAUGGAGUAUAGGGUGAUGCUGUGCUGGGCUGUGUGUGUAUGUCGGGGGCGUUUGUCUUGGAGGGGCAUGUAGAAGGGAUUCCAGUGGUUCACUGGGGGCUUCGCCCACCACUUUUUAAUUUUUAUUUUUAUAUAUUUUUUGAUACUAAGUCUUGCUCUGUCUCCCAGUCUGGAGUGCAGUGGUGCGAUAUCGGCUCACUGCAACCUCCGCCUCUCAGGUUCAAGCAAUUCUCUUGCCUCAGUCUCCCGAGUAGCUGGGAUUAUGGGCGCCCGCCACCACACCUGGCUAAUUUUUUGAUUUUUAGUAGAGAUGGGGUUUCGUCAUGUUGUCCAGGCUGGUCUCCAACUCCUGAGCUCAGGCAAUCUGCCCGCCUCGGCCUCCCAAAGUGCUGGGAUUACAGGAGUGAGCCACUGCGCCCGGCCACGCCCCCGCUCUUAGUUCUCCCUUCCAACCUUUUCAUCCAUCAAAGGUUACACUGGGACCCUGCGUCUGUGAGGUGGGGAGAUAUCUGAAGCUAGACUGGGGAUCCCCUCCCAAACGGGAUCCUGGGGACUGGCAGACAGCUCAGCUGCCCCCCACUCUCCAUCAUCCCCAGGGCUCCACCGCAGCCCUGCUCCUCUGUCCUGUGUCCAGCCACCCUGGAAGAGAUGGGGGUGGAGUGCAAGGGACUUCAGUGCAGGGAGGGGCUGCAGGGAGGAGGAGGCGAGGUGGGUUUGAGGCCAGAAGACGGAGGGAGAUGGGGAAGAAGAGGGGCACCCAGAGCAGCCGACAGCAAACCUAGUGAGCAGUGACAAUCAAAACAGGGGCGGUUCACUGAAACUUCUGUGUGUCUGCUGGCUUCACACACUUUAUCUGGCUUAAUCUUCACUAGUAUUAUUCUUAAAUUUUAGUUUUGUAAAUGUUUGUAUUUUAUUUUGUUUAUUAGCUGGAAUUGCUAAUGCAUUUACACAUUUGAAUAUUUAAGAGGUGUGUGCAAUACUGAGUCUCCAUCUCCCCCGGCUCAUUCCCCAGGGACCAGGCUCCCUCCCUGGAGGCAGCCAGCUUCGCCAGCGACUUCCCUCCUCUUCCAGGCUGUCUGCGCAGACAAGCAAACAUAUGCAUAGAAAAGCAAAUAUAUACACAUACAUUUCCCACUUUUUAACCCAUUAAAGGCUGGCAUUCCAUCACCCGAGUCUUCUGACUUCUUUUUCCACUUGCCUACUUACUAAGGCUCGGAGAGGUUAAGACAAUCGUCUAGAGUCACACAGCGGGGGUGGAAAGAUGGGCGGCGACCUCAGUCAACCGGUGGAGUGGGAUGGAGGGGACAGGAUCGGUUUCCGGGCAGGAGCUGUGUUGCAGCGGUGCCUGUUGCAUGUGGAAGUCUCCCUUCAAGGUUUGCAUCAUGGAACUCACCUGGCCCAACCUCUCAGGGAGGAAAAUUCCAACCAGAGAGGGCCGCUCCUGUACUCUGGGAUGCCUUCUCCUGUCUGCCUGCCCAAAUCCUCGCUGACCUUCAAGUUCCAGCGUCGGGAAGUGCCUGGCCGCAUUUCUUAAAGGUUUUACAAGGAUAGACAUCAUUUCCUCCAAAAGAACACAGAGGGAAUGUUGAGCGCUCCCUUUCCCUACUUCUCCUUCUCAUGAUUAAGCAGGCAUUGUGGCUGUUGAGAUUAAAGCCCCAUGCGGAGAUGCAGGGCACCAGGCUAGAUGGAGCCCAGGUCCCCAGGCAGCGGUGUGGAGAAGACUCAUCAUGUUCACCUGGCCCACCUAUCCAUUUGGACUUUUCAAUAAGAAAUAAAUCAGUUUUGAGAAUGUUUCGGUUGCUGUUAUUCUGAGUCUCUUUAAGCAGCUAAAUCUGAGAUAUACCUAAUACAGCAUCCUCAUCUGUGAAAUGUGAACCAUAACCCUUGCCUCACAGGGCAGCUGUCAGGAAGGAAAGAGCUACACUUUGUCAAACACCCAGCAAGAAUCCAACA
rnacentral:lncRNA from 1 species